GCCGAGCCAGAUGCGGCGCGCCUUCCGGGGCUCCCGGAUCUCCGAGACCCACUUCCCGCACCGGCUCCGGAUGCCGCGGUAGAAUGGGUGCUUCCCCGACGACCCGCCAUGCUCAGACAUUGCUCCGAUCAGUUAGGUUAACGAUCUCGAGGAGUGUGCAGGCUAGUAGAGGAGUGUGGGACUGUGGGGAGUGGAGUGGCCGCGUGCAUGCAGUUCGCUGAUUAAAUCCACGCGGAGGAGCUCGGGUAUAUAAGGGGCCGCCAGGCGGGAGAAGCGGGCGGGGAAGCGGUGUGAGGGACGCCAUGGCGCUCGCUCUCGAUGAGCUGGUGCCCCGGAAGCGAACAACUAAGCUUAGGUAAAUUAAAUCGCAGUCACUCACGGCCACCUGCAGUGUUCUUUUCGGGCGUGUGUGGGGAGGAAGAUUGAAGAAUCACGUCGCUUUCGGGCUUUCUAAUCAUGGGAAGGGCUGUAGCUUUUGCGCGUUUUUCAGUUCUUUUGGGCGUAACUAGUUGCCUUUUCAUUUUCCUUCUGUUUUAUUCAGAUUGAGGGGAGCUUUUCUUGUACGGUAAUGUUCUUUUUACACUACGGCAAUGCUGCUUCUCUAUGGAGAUGCGCCCAGCCGUUCGAUCCAUUUCUUGUUCUCAUUGAGAUGAGCGCAGUGACUCAAUAGACAAGGAUGAUUAGUACUCCUACAUUGGUGCACACUUGUUACACAGUGGACACUGGACAGCAAUAUAGGUGUUGACCUAGCUUGCAAAUGAACAGGUGCUAUUGUAACUUCCUCGACGAACAAAACUGUAAAUAUCAUGUACCAAAUUUGUCACA